AUGAGACUCAGCAAGCCAAGCAGUGAGACACAUCCCAGCCCUAACCAGCUCUCGGGUCUCCCAUCUCCCUGCCGGAUAUCUACUGGUCGCUUCUCCCCCCAAGCCCUUCAUCCGUUCCCUUUGUCUGCAGGCGGGCUGGUGGCUGUCCCCCCCCGCCCGGAACGUGCAGUCCCGAUCCGCGCCGCUGAGCGGCACCGUCCCUCCAGGCACACGGAGAGCAGCCACACGACUCCCCGCGGUCACCCCCCGGGCAGGUGGCCCCGCAGAACCACCUCACCCCAUAGGGGGGAUCAAAAGGUCCAGCCCUCAGCAUCAACGGUGUCUGCACCCCAGCACGGGCAAGGCUUGACUGGUAACCCGAAGCGCUGCUACAUCACCUGGGUUGCAUCAAGCAGAGCGAAGUGCUGGAGAGCUGCUCAUGAAUUGCAGCAUUUGGACUUGGAAGUUUUUAAUGACUCUUCAUGUGGCUCUUAAGCUUGUCACAGUGUGGAGGGAUUCAGAGACUAUAAGUGACUUCCUGGAAGAACAUCAAGGUAGGGUUAAAAAGCCACUCUGCUAUUUUAACAUGGGACUUCUGCUUUUACAAGCCCAAAGACAUCCUUUGUAGGACAAGACAUCUAUAUC
rnacentral:lncRNA from 1 species